GGUCCUGCUCAGACUUCUGUUAGUGGUCAUAAUUACUAUAUCAGUUUUGUUGAUGCUUACAGCCGCUUUACCUGGCUUUAUCUUAUCAAACAUAAAUCUGAUGUGUUUGACAUUUUUGUUCAGUUCCAAAAACAUGUUGAACGCCUUCUCAAGCACAAAAUUGUUCAUGUUCAGUCGGACUGGGGUGGCGAGUAUCGCAACCUCAACUCCUUCUUUCAGUCGCUUGGGAUCACUCACCGUUUAGCAUGUCCACAUACACAUCAGCAGAAUGGUUCAGUAGAACGUAAGCAUCGUCACAUUGUUGAAGCUGGUCUGACUCUUUUGGCCCAUGCAUCUGUUCCGUUUCGUUUUUGGAGUGAUGCUUUCACCACUGCAUGUUUUCUCAUCAAUCGUACUCCCACUCGUGUUUUGAAUAUG
rnacentral:rRNA from 1 species